rfam:Gossypium raimondii Chr05_contig_1032, whole genome shotgun sequence.
GUUAAAACAAGGAAAGGCUUAUGGUGGAUACUUAGGCACGCAAAGACGAGAAAGGGUGUAGUAAGCGACGAAAUGCUUCGGGGAGUUAAAAAUAAGUGUAGAUCUGGAGAUUCCCGAAUAGGUCAACCUUUCAAAUUGCAGCUGAAUCCAUGGGCAGACAAGAGACAACUUGGCGAACUGAAACAUCUUACUAGCAGAAGGAAAAGAAAGCAAAAGCGAUUCCUGUAGUAGCGGCUAGCAAAAUGGGAGUAGCCUAAACCGUGAAGACGGGGUUGUGGGAGAGCAAUAAAAGCGUCGUGCUACUAGGCGAAGCGGUGAAGUGCCGAACCCUAGAUGGCGAUAGUCCAAUAGCCGAAAGCAUCACUAGCUUACGCUCUAACCCAAGUAGCAUGGGGCACGUGGAAUCCCGUAUAAAUCAGCAAGGACUACCUUGUAAGACUAAAUACUCCUAGGUGAUCGAUAGCGAAGUAGUACCGUGAAGGAAGGGUGAAAAGAACCCCCAUCGGAGAGUGAAAUAGAACAUGAAAUUGUAAGCUCCCAAGCAGUAGGAGGAGCCCAGGGCUCUGAACGCGUGCCUAUUGAAGAAUGAGCCGGUGACUCAUAGACAAUGGCUUGGUUAAGGGAACCCACCAGAGCCGUAGUGAAAGCGAACCUUCAUAGGGCAAUUGUCACUACUUAUGGACCCGAACCUGGGUGAUCUUUCCAUGACCAAGAUGAAGCUUGGGUGAAACUAAAUGGAGGUUUGAACUGACUGAUGUUGAAUAAUCAGCGGAUGAGUUAUGGUUAGAAGUGAAAUGCCACUAAAACCCAAAGCUAGCUGGUUUCCCCCAAAAUGUAUUGAGGCGUAGUAGUUGACUGGAUUUCUAGGGGUAAAGCACUGUUUUGGUGCGGGCUGCGAGAGCGGUACCAAAUCGAGGUAAACUCUAAAUACUAGAUAUAACCUCAAAAUAAUAGGGGUUGAGGUCGGCCAGUGAGACAAUAGGGGAUAAGCUUCAUCGUCGAGAAGGUAACAGCCCAAAUCACCAGCUAAGGCCCCUGAAUGAUCACUCAGUGAUAAAGGAGGUAGGGGUGCAGAGGCAGCCAAGAGGUUUUCCUAGAAGCAGCCACUCUUGAAAGAGUGCGUAAUAGCUCACUGAUCGAACACUCUUGUGUUGAAGAUGAACGGGGCUAAGUGAUCUACCGAAGCUAUGAGAUGUAAAAAUGUACAAGUAGGGGAACGUUUCGCCUUAGGGGGAAGCAUCUGCAUGAGCAGAAGUAGACGAAGUGGAAGCAAGAAUGUCAGAUUGAGCAACACAAACAUUGGUGAGAAUCCAAUGCCCCCGAAAACCCAAGGGUUCCUCCUCAAGGCUCGUCUACAGAGGGUGAGUCAGAGCCUAAGAUCAGGCCGAAAGGCGUAGUCGAUGGAGAACAGGUGAAUAUUCCUGUACUACCCCUUGUUGGACCUAAAAGACGGAGGAGGCUAGGUUAGCCGAAAGAUGGUUAUCGGUUCAAGGAGCAAUGUGCCCCUACUUUUUCAAGGUAAGAAGGGGUAGAGAAAAUGCCUUGAGCCAAUGUUCGAGUACCAGGUGCUACGGCGCUGAAGUAACCCAUGCUAUACUCCUAGGAAAAGUUCAAACGACCUUCAACAAAAAGGUACCUAUACCCAAAAUCGACACAGGUGGAUAGGUAGAGAAUACCUAGAGGCAUGAGACAACUAUCUAUAAGGAACUCGGCAAAAUAGCCCUGUAACUUCGGAAGAAAGGGUGCCUCCUCACAAAAGGGUCGCAGUGACCAGGCCCGGGUGACUGUUUACCAAAAACACAGGUCUUCGCAAAGUCGUAAGACCAUGUAUGGGGGCUGACACCUGCCCAAUACUGGAAGGUUAAGGAAGUUGGUGACCUGAUGACAAGGUAGCCGACAACCGAAGCCCUGGUGAACGGCAAUCGUAACAAUAACGGUCCUAAGGUAGCAAAAUUCUUUGUCGGGUAAGUUUCGAGUCGCACAAAAGGUGUAACGAUCUAGGCACUAUCUUGGAGAAAACUCGGUGAAAUAGAAAUGUCUGUGAAGAUUUGGACUACCUGCACUUAGACAGAAAGACUUUAUGAAGCUACACUGUUCCAUGGGAUUUGCUUUAGGCUUUUCCUGCGUAGCUUAGGUGGAAGGCGAAGAAUGCCUCCUUCCGGGGGGCCCGAGCCAUCAGUGAGAUACCACUCUGGAAGAGCUAGAAUUCUAACCUUGUGUCAGGACCUACGAGCCAAUGGACAGUCUUAGGUAGAUAGUUUCUAUAGGGCGUAGGCCUCUCAAAAGGUAACGGAGACGUGCAAAGGUUUCCUUGGGCCAGACGGAGAUUGGGCAUUGAGUGUAAAGGCAGAAGGGAGCUUGAUUGCAAGACCCAUCCAUCGAGCAAGGACGAAAGUUGGCCUUAGUGAUCCGACGGUGCCAAGUGGAAGGGUCGUCGUUCGACGGAUAAAAGUUACUCUAGGGAUAAUAGGCUGAUCUUUCCCAAUAGCUCACAUCUACUGGAAGGUUUGGCACAUUGAUGUCGGCUCUUCGCCAACUGGAGCUGUAGUAUAUUCCAAGGGUUGGGUUGUUCGCCCAUUAAAGCGAUAGGUGAGCUGGGUUCAGAACGUCGUGAGACAAUUCGGUCCAUAUCCGGUAUGGGCGUUAGAGCAUUAAGAGGACAUUUUCCUAGUACGAGAGGACCGAGAAGGACGCACCUAUGGUGUACCAGUUAUCGUGCGUACGGUAACGCGGGGUAGCCAAGUACAAAGGGAAUAACUGCUGAAAGCAUCUAAGUAGUAAGCCCACCCCAAGAUGAGUGCUCUCCUAUUUCAACUUCCCAAAGCCUCCCGUAGCACAGCCGAGACGGCAAUGGGUCCUCUUUACCUGCAGAGAUCGAGUGACAGAAGUUUUGAAAAUUCAAGAGAAGGUCACAGUGAGUCGAGCCUUUUAUCAUUAUGAUAGGUGUCAAGUGGAAGUGCAGUGAUGUAUGCAGCUGAGGCAUCCUAAUAGAUCGGUAGACUUGAACUU